ensembl:lncRNA
UGAUUUGAACCCAGCCGUCUGUCCUCAGAGUCUCUGCUGUCACCUGCCUCGUGGAUAAACCAGGGAGCACCCAUACAGAGAUGUGAACCACAACAAGGAAUUAUACUAGCGACAUGGACAAAGACUAUUUACACUGGAGAACAACAGGGAGGACAGGCCUACCCUUGUGAUCUCCAGCGACUCAACCCCAAGACAGAAAGCGGCAGGUUGGUGGCCGGCCUGCCCCUGGGACUGACCCUCCACAUCUGGGUCUCAUUCUGCAUCAGCAGGACACCAGUCCAGGCCAAGGCACACAGCCAGCUGGGACUCUGCCUUGAAAAACCAGAUGGACUUGCUGCGAGAUAAAGAAGAAAGCACUGGCUGUGAAGGAGAGCCUUGGCACUGACCCCAUCUGGACAUGUAGCACGAGAGAUAUAUCAAUGACAGUAUCAAUUUUGACUGAUUUUACAGACAAAACACCUCCAAACUCAUUUUCUUCUUUAAGCCUGCUGAAGGGUAGUAUGAUCAAUGAAAGACUUUCAAGCACAAAAUUAUCUUGCAUCAGGGUGAAGCUUUACGGAAGAAAUGGAAUGGAACUAUGUUUCCAAGGAGAAAAAGAAAGGCUAUGCGAGCAAAAUGGUGUGGAGACUCUGGAAUUGGCACAGUUCGAGGUCCAGGGAGGCCCGAGCUGGCCUGGCCUCUGAGGCUGUAUUUAUACGGAAUGACAGUGGGCUUCUGGCAGCAAGCAUGUGCCAGUCCAGCUGGGCCUCAUGGGGGGAACCUGAACCUGUCACGUUCUCGGUCACCGUCUUGGAGCCAUGAUGGUCAGCAACACGGACGGACCUAGAGAGUGGUAUACCGAGAGAAGCAAUAUCACGUGACAUCCUUUACGUGUGGAAUCUAAGAAGAAAUGAUACAAAUGAACUUACAAAACAGAAACAGAUUCACAGACUUCAAGAAUGAGCUUAUGGUUGCCAGCGGGAAGGGCAUCCCAGGGACCGUAGCCCACCAGGCUCCUCUGUCCAAGGGAUUUUCCAGGCAAAAUACUAGAAUGGAUUGCCAAUUUCUUCUCCAGGGGAUGGUCUCAACCCAGGGAUCGAACUCACAUCUCCUGCAUUACUGGCAUUACAUCC